rnacentral:rRNA from 1 species
AACGAACGCUGGCGGCAUGCCUAACACAUGCAAGUCGAACGAGACCUUCGGGUCUUGUUGCGCACGUGUGCUUAACGCGUGGUAAUCUGCCCUUGGGUUCGGUAUCACUGUUUGAAACGUCUGCUAAUACCGGAUGAUGACGUAAGUCCAAAGAUUUAUCGCUACAGGAUGGGCCCGCGUAGGAUUAGCUAGUUGGUGAGGUAAAGGCUCGCCAUGGCGACGAUCCUUAGCUGGUCUGAGAGGAUGAUCAGCCACACUGGGAAUGAGACACGGCCCAGACUCCUACGGGACGCAGCAGAAGGGUAUAUUGGAGAAGGGGCGAAAGCCUGACAAAGCAAUGCCGGGUGAGUGAUGAAGGGCUUAGGGUUGUAAAGCUCUUUUACCCGGGAUGAUAAUGACAGUACCGGGAGAAUAAGCACCGGCUAACUACGUG